UACGAAGGGGGCUAGCGUUGCUCGGAAUCACUGGGCGUAAAGCGCACGUAGGCGGAUUGUUAAGUCGGGGGUGAAAUCCUGGAGCUCAACUCCAGAACUGCCUUCGAUACUGGCGAUCUUGAGUCCGGGAGAGGUGAGUGGAACUCCGAGUGUAGAGGUGAAAUGCGUAGAGAUCAGGCGGAACACCCGUGGCGAAGGCGGCCAGCUGGGCCGUCCCUGACGCUGAGGCGCGAAGGCGUGGGGAGCGAACGGG
rnacentral:rRNA from 1 species